CUGACACAGGGAGGUAGUGACAAUAAAUAACAAUGCCGGGCCUAUACAGGUCUGGCAAUUGGAAUGAGAACAAUUUAAAUCCCUUAUCGAGUAUCAAUUGGAGGGCAAGUCUGGUGCCAGCAGCCGCGGUAAUUCCAGCUCCAAUAGCGUAUAUUAAAGUUGUUGCAGUUAAAAAGCUCGUAGUUGGAUUUCUGCCGAGGACGACCGGUCCGCCCUCUGGGUGAGCAUCUGGCUCGGCCUGGGCAUCUUCUUGGAGAACGUAUCUGCACUUGACUGUGUGGUGCGGUAUUCAGGACUUUUACUUUGAGGAAAUUAGAGUGUUUCAAGCAGGCAUACGCCUUGAAUACAUUAGCAUGGAAUAAUAAGAUAGGACCUCGGUUCUAUUUUGUUGGUUUCUAGAUCUGAGGUAAUGAUUAAUAGGGAUAGUUGGGGGCAUUCGUAUUUAACUGUCAGAGGUGAAAUUCUUGGAUUUGUUAAAGACGGACUACUG
rnacentral:rRNA from 1 species